rnacentral:lncRNA from 1 species
GUGGCAGUGGAGAAACUCCACCAUGCUACAGUGCAGAGUAUUCUGCCAUAGGUUCACCACCACUGGCCUCAGGGAGCCAGCGUCCCUGCCAGCAAGCAUCUGAUAGCAGCCCACAAGGUGCAUGGGGGCCAUUUCUACUAAUGGUAGAUCCACCUGUUAUCCACAGGCAAGCUGCUCCAACCUGUUUCAUCUUUGUCCACGAUCAAAACAUCAUACUGACUGUUUUCCACUUAUGUAUGGAGGGCUCGUCAUGAUUUCAGCUGCUUAUAGAAUACUUCUCCACACAAGUCUUGCUUCCUGUGCCUGCAAAGGAAGAAAAAUAUCAAAUUUGCCAAAUGGGUUUGACCAGCAUCUUUAAUUAAGUAUGGAAUGUAAAUACAUUUGAAUGUUACUUCACCAAACGCAUUAAGGACCAGGAAGGCUGGAUGUUGUCAGCGCUCCCCGGAGACCAGCCAUGGGGCAGUUCCCACCCUCACCAACCACCCACGGACAGGACAGCAAGUAUGACAUCUAAGGCCAGGACCAAGGCAGAUACAGAUGAGGACAUGGGAAAGUGUCACCACAGUCACCAUGGUGCCUGAGAGCCAAUGGAGCCUUGUCAGAG